GUGUCAGCAGCCGCGGUAAUACGGAGGAUGCAAGCGUUAUCCGGAAUUAUUGGGCGUAAAGCGUCCGCAGGUGGCUAUACAAGUCUGCUGUCAAAGACCGUAGCUUAACUACGGAAAGGCGGUGGAAACUGUAAGGCUAGAGGCCGGUAGGGGUAGCGGGAAUUUCCAGUGUAGCGGUGAAAUGCGUAGAGAUUGGAAAGAACAUCGGUGGCGAAAGCGCGCUACUGGGCUGUGCCUGACACUGAGGGACGAAAGCUAGGGGAGCGAAAGGGAUUAGAAACCCGCGUAGUCC
rnacentral:rRNA from 1 species